rnacentral:tRNA from 1 species
UUAAAAUCCGUCGACUUUCAAAAUCGUGAGGGU